rnacentral:rRNA from 1 species
ACGGAAGGCAGCAGUGAGGAAUAUUGGACAAUGGUCGGAAGACUGAUCCAGCCAUGCCGCGUGAAGGCAGACGGUCCUAUGGAUUGUAAACUUCUUUUGUACGGGAACAAUAAGGGUCACGUGUGGCCUGAUGAGAGUACCGUACGAAUAAGCAUCGGCUAACUCCGUGCCAGCAGCCGCGGUAAUACGGAGGAUGCGAGCGUUAUCCGGAUUUAUUGGGUUUAAAGGGUGCGCAGGCGGCACGUUAAGUCAGCGGUGAAAUGUCGGGGCUCAACCCGGGCACUGCCGUUGAAACUGGCGAGCUUGAGUACGGAUGAAGUCGGCGGAAUGUGAUGUGUAGCGGUGAAAUGCUUAGAUAUGUCACAGAACACCGAUUGCGAAGGCAGCUGACUAAUCCGCAACUGACGCUCAGGCACGAAAGCGUGGGGAUCGAACAGGAUUAGAUACCCUGGUA